UGGGUGGAAGAGUGGCGAACGGGUGAGUAACACGUGAGUAACCUGCCUAUCACUCUGGGAUAAGCGCUGGAAACGGCGUCUAAUACUGGAUAUGUCCCAUCACCGCAUGGUGUGUGGGUGGAAAGAUUUAUCGGUGGUAGAUGGACUCGCGGCCUAUCAGCUUGUUGGUGAGGUAAUGGCUCACCAAGGCGACGACGGGUAGCCGGCCUGAGAGGGUGACCGGCCACACUGGGACUGAGACACGGCCCAGACUCCUACGGGAGGCAGCAGUGGGGAAUAUUGCACAAUGGGCGCAAGCCUGAUGCAGCAACGCCGCGUGAGGGAUGACGGCCUUCGGGUUGUAAACCUCUUUUAGUAGGGAAGAAGCGCAAGUGACGGUACCUGCAGAAAAAGCACCGGCUAACUACGUGCCAGCAGCCGCGGUAAUACGUAGGGUGCAAGCGUUGUCCGGAAUUAUUGGGCGUAAAGAGCUCGUAGGCGGCUUGUCGCGUCUGCUGUGAAAACUGGAGGCUCAACCUCCAGCCUGCAGUGGGUACGGGCAAGCUAGAGUGCGGUAGGGGAGAUUGGAAUUCCUGGUGUAGCGGUGGAAUGCGCAGAUAUCAGGAGGAACACCGAUGGCGAAGGCAGAUCUCUGGGCCGUUACUGACGCUGAGGAGCGAAAGCAUGGGGAGCGAACAGGAUUAGAUACCCUGGUAGUCCAUGCCGUAAACGUUGGGAACUAGAUGUAGGGCCUGUUCCACGGGUUCUGUGUCGUAGCUAACGCAUUAAGUUCCCCGCCUGGGGAGUACGGCCGCAAGGCUAAAACUCAAAGGAAUUGACGGGGGCCCGCACAAGCGGCGGAGCAUGCGGAUUAAUUCGAUGCAACGCGAAGAACCUUACCAAGGCUUGACAUAUACGAGAACGGGCGAGAGAUCGUCAACUCUUUGGACACUCGUAAACAGGUGGUGCAUGGUUGUCGUCAGCUCGUGUCGUGAGAUGUUCGGUUAAGUCCGGCAACGAGCGCAACCCUCGUCCUAUGUUGCCAGCACGUAAUGGUGGGAACUCAUGGGAUACUGCCGUGGUCAACACGGAGGAAGGUGGGGAUGACGUCAAAUCAUCAUGCCCCUUAUGUCUUGGGCUUCACGCAUGCUACAAUGGCCGAUACAAAGGGCUGCGAUACCGCGAGGUGGAGCGAAUCCCAAAAAGUCGGUCUCAGUUCGGAUUGGGGUCUGCAACUCGACCCCAUGAAGUCGGAGUCGCUAGUAAUCGCAGAUCAGCAACGCUGCGGUGAAUACGUUCCCGGGCCUUGUACACACCGCCCGUCAAGUCAUGAAAGUCGGUAACACCCGAAGCCGGUGGCCUAA
rnacentral:rRNA from 1 species